rnacentral:lncRNA from 1 species
CCCGAGGCUGCGGCUGCUGCCGCCGCUGGAGGCGUUGGUUGCGCUGCGCGCUGUCAUUACCGUUGUGUCUAUGCCUUUAAGCGUACGUAUGUGAUGGAUCACACGCUCACUCGUGUUCUGCUAUAAAGGGCGAUGCUGGCUGCUCUCAGAGUACAAAAUAUUUUUGUCCUCCUCGAGGUCAGCAGAAUGUUCAGCUAUUGUCAUCAGCAUUGCCAGAUGGAUUUCAGUGGAAAUAUACUCCUUUUUCACAGGCAGAGGUCUGGCAGACUACACAGUUUUCUCAGUUUUUAGGUAAUUGCAAAGAAGAUGAUCACUGUUGCUGAACUCUUUGCAUCACCAGAUAGACUGCAAGUCAAUAAGUAGAGUUUACUGAAUUUACCAUCUUCAAAUCACAGAGUGGUAGAAAAACACCAGCUCUGUGGG